rnacentral:misc_RNA from 1 species
AUACACAACUGUUUACGAUUACCUCUAUUUAUGAGUUGUUAUAUUGUUAUGUCGUUCUCAAUGAAGUUUUCUAAUUAUUGAUUAAUUGUUGUUUAUCCUUGAAUUUUUGGAACUUUUUAUAUUUUAUGAGCUAAAUAAUGUGCCGAACUAAAUCAUCAAUAAAUAAAUAUUUCAAUUACUGUGUAUCAUCUAAUGAAUCUACACGCAAAGAAUGUUCAAAAUUAUUAAAAGGUAAUCAUGAAUUAAAUUAAAAAAAACAUGAAACAACACGAGGAAUUACAUAAUGAUUUUAUAGAAAAUCAAGAAAAAAUAUCUCAAUAUAAUUCUAUAACUCAAGUGAAAAUAGAUACACUUGUUAAAUCAAAUUAUGAAAUUAAAGAGGCAUGUUCAUGAAGAAUUUAUGCUACUUCAAAAACAGAUUUCAAAUUAAAUACAAAAUAAAUUGAUAUCAUUGAAAAUUGAUGUAGUUACUAGGUUCAAUAGAAGUUUUUUGGGAUUAAAUAUUCAAUACAUAGUUAAUGAUUGUAUUCAAUUAAGAACAAUCAGUCUUGUUGAAUUAAUAGAAUCUCAUACAGGAAUAUAUUUGAAAGAAAUUAUUCUUAAGACAUUAAAAAAAUUCAAAGUUAAUCCAAAUCAGGUGUAUACAAUUACCACUGAUAAUGGAGCAAAUAUAGAAAAAGCUGUAAAAUUAAUUGGAAAUGAAAUUGAACUAUUACUAGAGUCUGAUAUAGAUAGUGAACAUGCAAACAGCAAAAAUCAAAUAGAUCCUGAUGAAAUCCUAGGCUCAGACAUAUUAUAGGAUAAGUAUAACAGUGAUACUAGUACUGACUGUGAAACAGAAAGAUUGGAUAUUGAUAAUUCUAUAAUUGAUGAUGAUGAAAUACAUUCUAUACUUAAUGCUGCAGACGAUGAUGACUUUGAGAAAAACAAUGAUAUUUGUGAGAAGCUAAUUUCUGAAAUGGAAAUGGAAACUUUACAUAUUGGAGACAGUACAAUAUUUACUGGUAUGUGUUGUGUUGCACAUACUUUGCAGUUAGCUGUGUUUGAUGCAUUGAAAGAUACAACAUUAUAAAUAUAUUGCAAAAAAUUCACGGAUGAAAAUCCAAGGUCUACAUUAGUACCAGGAGUUAAUCAAAUUCGUGAUAAUUCGAGUCCAGUUGUGAAACGUAAAAAACAAAUGUUACUAAUAUGAUAUCUAGUACUUAUAAGUUAGAUUAUAAAUUUUCGUUGAAACUGUAAUAUUUGUAUACUAUUUGUUAAUAAU